CUAGCCGUUGCGCCUUAGCGCACAGUCCUGAAGGCCCCACAUCUUGUGGAUCUUGCCGUGGACAUGUUUCUGGCAUGUGUUUCUCAAGCCUGCAACCGACGACUGAACAGACGUGUGAACAGUUUGAGUGUGGUAGCGCUGUGUGAGUUGGCGGUGGAACCCCCUCGUGGUGACACGAGCCCCCGUGGCCAAAAGCCCAGUGUUUACAGCACCUCUCACAUCCAGGGAAACCCCACCCUGGCGCUCACUCUUAGUAACACUUCCUAGUAGGUAUUAGGUGGUAAGCCGAGCUCUUCCUCGGUCUUGUUCUGAAUGCACACAUGUCUAGGGGCUAAGGAUGUCCUACAGGUACCCGCACGUAACCUUCAGAGAGUGUGGAUCUGAGUAGGAGACUGUGGUGCGCUGCUUUACAGACGUAGCCCAGUUUAAAAAACGUCUAUGCCCCUACAGGGUCGCGGUGGGCCGCACCCUUUCCUUUUACAAACUUGGUUUU
rnacentral:other from 1 species